UAGCAGAGGGUGCGAGCGUUGUUCGGAAUUACUGGGCGUAAAGCGCGCGCAGGCGGCUUUCUAAGUCCGUCGGUGAAAGACCGGGGCUCAACCCCGUGUCAGCCAUGGAUACUGGGAGGCUGGAGACAGGUAGAGGCAAGCGGAAUUCCGGGUGUAGCGGUGGAAUGCGUAGAGAUCCGGAGGAACACCGGUGGCGAAGGCGGCUCACUGGCCCGGUACUGACGCUGAGGCGCGAAAGCGUGGGGAGCAAACAGG
rnacentral:rRNA from 1 species